rnacentral:rRNA from 1 species
UACGGGGAGCAAGCGUUGUUCGGAUUUACUGGCGUAAAGGGCGCGUAGGCGGUCAGCACAAGUCAGUUGUGAAAUCUCCGGGCUUAACCCGGAAAGGUCAACUGAUACUGUGCGACUAGAGUGCGGAAGGGCAACUGGAAUUCUCGGUGUAGCGGUGAAAUGCGUAGAUAUCGAGAGGAACACCUGCGGCGAAGGCGGGUUGCUGGGCCGACACUGACGCUGAGGCGCGAAAGCCAGGGGAGCGAACGGG